rnacentral:lncRNA from 10 species
UUUUCUAGAAGCAAUUUUUUUAAUACACACACACACGCGCACACACACACACGCACACGCACCCUGUAGGUUUGGAUUGAAUUACUUAUGAAGUCUCUUCUUUAUAGUCAGUACAUAGUAAAUAUUUGUUGAAUGAGUGGUCCAUUUCCUUCUUCCAUCUGUCAUGGUCUGGCAUAAACUCUCCAAGAGAUUUGAAGGGAGAGUUGGCACCAGUAGUACCUCCAAUUAGACAUUCUUUCCACAG